ACCUACUUGUCUCAGCCGCGGUAAUUCCAGCUCCAAUAGCGUAUAUUAAAGUUGUUGCAGUUAAAAAGCUCGUAGUUGAAUUUCGGGGUUCUACCGUUGGUCGGGCUUUGUCUGUACUGGCGUGUAGAAUUUCUACCUUCUGGGGAACCAUCAUGUUAUUAAUUUAACGUGGUGGGAACCAGGACCUUUACCUUGAAAAAAUUAGAGUGUUCAAAGCAGGCUUGUGUCUGAAUACAUUAGCAUGGAAUAAUAAAAUAGGACGGUGGUCCUGUUUUGUUGGUUUCUGAAUCACCGUAAUGAUUAAUAGGGAUAGUUGGGGGCAUUAGUAUUCAAUUGUCAGAGGUGAAAUUCUUGGAUUUAUUGAAGACUAACUUCUGCGAAAGCAUUUGCCAAGGAUGUUUUCAUUAAUCAAGAACGAAAGUUAGGGGAUCGAAGACGAUCAGAUACCGUCGUAGUCUUAACCAUAAACUAUGCCGACUAGGGAUCGGACGAUGUUAAUUUUUCUUGACUCGUUCGGCGCCUUACG
rnacentral:rRNA from 1 species